rnacentral:rRNA from 1 species
UACAGAGGUCUCAAGCGUUGUUCGGAUUCAUUGGGCGUAAAGGGUGUGUAGGUGGCGCGCUAAGUCGGGUGUGAAAUUUCGGAGCUUAACUCCGAAACUGCAUUCGAUACCGCCGUGCUUGAGGACUGGAGAGGAGACUGGAAUUUACGGUGUAGCGGUGAAAUGCGUAGAUAUCGUAAGGAAGACCAGUGGCGAAGGCGGGUCUCUGGACAGUUCCUGACGCUGAGGCACGAAGGUCAGGGGAGCAAACGGG